rnacentral:rRNA from 1 species
ACGGCUCAGUAACACGUGGAUAACCUGCCCUAUGCUCUGGGAUAACCUCGGGAAACUGAGAAUAAUACCGGAUAGAUCACAACGCCUGGAACGGUGUGUGGUUGAAAGGUUACGGCAUAGGAUGGGUCUGCGGCGUAUCAGGUUGUAGGGGGUGUAAUGGACCCCCUAGCCAUCGACGCGUACGGGUGUUGGGAGGCAUAGCCCGGAGACGGAUUCUGAGACACGAAUCUGGACCCUACGGGGUGCAACAGGCGCGAAAACUUCACACUGCAGGAAACUGUGAUGAGGGAACUCCAAGUGGAUGCACAUAGUGUAUCUCUUUUCCUUACUAUUAAUCGGUAUUGGAAUAAGGGCUGGGAAAGACCGGUGCCAGCCGCCGCGGUAAUACCGGCAGCUCGAGUGGUCGUCGCUUUUAUUGGGCCUAAAACGUCCGUAGCCGGUUUGGUAAAUCUGUGGGUAAAUCAACUAGCUUAACUAGUUGAAUUCUGCAGAGACUGCCAGACUAGGAACCGGGAGAGGUGUGGGGUACUCAAGGGGUAGGGGUAAAAUCCUGUCAUCCUUUGAGGACCACCAGUUGCGAAGGCGCCACACUAGAACGGAUUCGACGGUCAGGGACGAAGCCUAGGGGCACGAACCGGAUUAGAUACCCGGGUAGUCCUAGGUGUAAACGCUGUGAACUUGGUGUCGGGAGUCCGCAAUGGGCCCCCGGUGCCGGAGUGAAGAUGUUAAGUUCACUGCCUGGGGAGUACGGUCGCAAGGCUGAAACUUAAAGGAAUUGGCGGGGGAGCAC